rnacentral:snoRNA from 1 species
UUACAUGACGAUAGAAAAGCUGUGCACCAGUCUGAGUGGAAACUUUUGUACUCUCCAUGUUGAGGACCCAGUAUACCCAAAUUUCUGAUA